AUUGAACGCUGGCGGCAUGCUUUACACAUGCAAGUCGAACGGCAGCGCGGGCUUCGGCCUGGCGGCGAGUGGCGAACGGGUGAGUAAUGCAUCGGAACGUGCCCAGUAGUGGGGGAUAGCCCGGCGAAAGCCGGAUUAAUACCGCAUACGACCUGAGGGUGAAAGCGGGGGACCGAAAGGCCUCGCGCUAUUGGAGCGGCCGAUGUCGGAUUAGCUAGUUGGUGGGGUAAAGGCUUACCAAGGCGACGAUCCGUAGCUGGUCUGAGAGGACGACCAGACACACUGGGACUGAGACACGGCCCAGACUCCUACGGGAGGCAGCAGUGGGGAAUUUUGGACAAUGGGGGCAACCCUGAUCCAGCCAUGCCGCGUGCGGGAAGAAGGCCUUCGGGUUGUAAACCGCUUUUGUUCGGGAAGAAAUCCUCUGGGCUAAUACCCCGGGGGGAUGACGGUACCGGAAGAAUAAGCACCGGCUAACUACGUG
rnacentral:rRNA from 1 species